rnacentral:lncRNA from 1 species
UGGCCUAUGCUUGAUUUUAUUUUAUUGUCAAAGCAUCAUCCUGGGAAAUGAAUGCCCCUAUUUCCUCCCUGUACACAGGAAACUGGGAUUUACAGAAAUGAAGUCUCUUGCCUGAUGUCACUCAGCUGUCAAGGGAUGAAUUUAUAGUUCACCACAGAGAUAAUAUAUUAUUGGGAUGAAAUUCUCUCUCUCUCUCUCUCUCUCUCUCUCUCUCUCUCUCUCUCUCUCUCUCUCUCUGUGUGUGUGUGUGUGUGUGUGUGUGUGUGUGUAUGUGUGUGUGUGUGUGCUUAGCUGAAAGUACAAAUGUCUGGCUGUUAUUUAAAAAGCCUAUAGUUACAGGGCUUUUCACCUUUGGCAAGUGUGGAUGAAGAGAAGGAGUGAUUAGGGUCCAUACAAAUGAGCAAGAGUCAGAUAACAAAGUCAUAAACUUGGUACUCAGGAGAAAGUGAUAAAGAUGAUAAACAAUUGAACUUUCCUAACAUGAUAUUUAGAGGACAAAAGAAUUACAAAAAGCAAGUUAACAAAUUUUAAAUACCUCCCAUGUAUGCAAUUGUAUACUUGCUGUAUCAAAGCUGAGACUGCUCUAAUAGUUUAUUUACGCAGUGCCUAACUCACAGAACAAUACUCAGAGAAAGCUUUGCUGCCAUCAGUGCACAGGUUUGGAUUAUAUUCUGCAGUCAUGCUGAUGCCAGAUACCCAGGUAACACUAGCUGAUCCAAAGAAAGAAAGUCAGGAAGGAAGAUUAGAUUAACUUAGUAUUGCUUCACAUAGAGAAGUCUAGGAAGCCUGUGUCUGACUGACAUUUAAACCUUCUUUCUACUCAAGUACAUUAUUCUUUUUUGUCUGUUUGUUUGUUUUUGGUUUGGUAUUGGGUUUUUUUUUUUGUUUUUUUUUUUUUUUUGUUUUGUUUUUUGUUUUUUGAGACAGGGUUUUUCUGUGUAGCCCUGUCUGUCGUGGAACUCAUUCUGUAGACCAGGCUGGCCUUGAACUCAGAAAUCCACCUGCCUGUGCCUUCCAAGUGCUGGGAUUAAAGGCGUGUACCACCAUGCCCGGCUUAAGUACAUUAUUCUUGAUGGGGCUGUGCACACGCAUCCAUGUGUGAAUGU